CGAGAAUUUUUAAUUCUUCACAAAAAUGCAGUGGUGAUGUUAUGAAGUAGAUGAUUUUCAGAUUAAGCUAUUUGACUGUCAGCUGUUUGUCAUUCAAGGGUUACUUAAGUGUUGUGUUAUGCUUUUGCAAAAGAAGAUGUGUGCAGGUGAAUGGAGGAGACACAUACACUGAAGGCCUGUGGAGACUACGUGUAGAAGACAAGAGAAAGCAUUCACACCUCCGGAGAGUGAUGCAGAUUAUUUAAAGAUAAGCAUUUAAAGUUGGUGAGAUAAGGCUUCCUUGAAGAUGAGAUCAGGUUAA
ensembl:lncRNA